rnacentral:lncRNA from 1 species
GACAGAAAGUGGAUAGAUAAGAGACAAAGAAAUAUUGAUAAAAGAUAGGAAAAUAUUUUUCAUUCAAUCAAAUAGAAUAAAAGUAGGAAUUUAUCAUGAAAAAUAUUGGAAAUCAAAAGCACCCUAAAUUAUUUUAUAAUAUUUUCCACCAAGUUUCGCAAAGUUGCAAUCUUCUUCUUCUCCUCACAGCGUCUUCAAAAUUGGAAACCUGCAAGGGUUCUCUAUGAAUUAUCAUAACUUGGAAGUUAGAAAAAAACUACUACACAACCAAAUCAACGAAUGAAUUCAAGUUAUACCUUUAUCCCUCAAUUGAAUUAAUAUUGAUCAGAAACGGCGCCCAAUUUGAAUGUUUGAAAGCGGUAGUCGCCGGAGGGUGCAUUCGUUGAUCUCCUCUUCCUUCCUCAGCGCCCGAACACAGAACACCGCCUGGGAGCGUUUGUCCCACAUCGAAAGAUAUAAAAAAUGUGUGCGGGAAACCAAUUAUAAAAAGCGGGGGCAAAAUCUGCCCAAUUCAUCUUUGCGCUUGGGGCAAUGACGCAGCUAGUGAGGUUCUAACCGAGGCGCGUCUAUUGCUGGUUGAAAACUAUUUCCAAACCCCCUCUUCGGCCUGGGUUCGCCCCUGGCCGUUGAGAAUUUCUGGAAAGGGCUCCCUUUUGGGUCAGCCCUACAAUUCUAGUCUAAAAUUCUAGCAUAUUUGUUAAUGGGGCUGAUGAUUACAAGCCCAUUUAAAUUUUGGGUUAUUAUAAGGAAGGCGGAUGGGUGUCUAAGGACACUCGGUGCCCCCUACUGGAGGGGCACCUGGGUGCGGUGCCU